rnacentral:rRNA from 1 species
GACGAACGCUGGCGGCGUGCUUAACACAUGCAAGUCGAACGGGAUUUAGUAAACAGAAGCCUCGGUGGAAGAUUACUAAUGAGAGUGGCGAACGGGUGAGUAACGCGUGAGCAACCUGCCUAUGACAGUGGGAUAGCCUCGGGAAACCGGGAUUAAUACCGCAUAAAAUCGUAGAAACACAUGUUUUAACGGUCAAAGAUUUAUCGGUCAUAGAUGGGCUCGCGUCUGAUUAGCUAGUUGGUGAGAUAACAGCCCACCAAGGCGACGAUCAGUAGCCGGUCUGAGAGGAUGAACGGCAACAUUGGAACUGAGACACGGUCCAAACUCCUACGGGAGGCAGCAGUGGGGAAUAUUGCACAAUGGGGGAAACCCUGAUGCAGCGACGCCGCGUGAACGAAGAAGGUAUUCGUAUCGUAAAGUUCUGUCCUAUGGGAAGAUAAUGACAGUACCAUAGAAGAAAGCUCCGGCUAAAUACGUG